rnacentral:lncRNA from 1 species
CCUAUGCCACACGCCCAAAGGGAGGGGCCAAUUUCUAGCAUCCUCUCCUCCCUCUUGGUCGGCUAAAGAGGUGAGAGAAUAUCAAAAAAAUAUGGCUAAGUGCAUCAAAUUUGAUUUGGUUGAAAUUUGGGUUCAAUUCGAAUCUGUUUCGAAUCUGAUUUGAACCAAAUUCGAAAAGGCUGCUAAUCCUAAUCUAAUUAGGAUUUAGGUCC